GACGAACGCUGGCGGCGUGCCUAAUACAUGCAAGUCGAGCGCUUCUUUCCUCCCGAGUGCUUGCACUCAAUUGGAAAGAGGAGUGGCGGACGGGUGAGUAACACGUGGGUAACCUACCCAUCAGAGGGGGAUAACACUUGGAAACAGGUGCCAAUACCGCAUAACAGUUUAUGCCGCAUGGCAUAAGAGUGAAAGGCGCUUUCGGGUGUCGCUGAUGGAUGGACCCGCGGUGCAUUAGCUAGUUGGUGAGGUAACGGCUCACCAAGGCCACGAUGCAUAGCCGACCUGAGAGGGUGAUCGGCCACACUGGGACUGAGACACGGCCCAGACUCCUACGGGAGGCAGCAGUAGGGAAUCUUCGGCAAUGGACGAAAGUCUGACCGAGCAACGCCGCGUGAGUGAAGAAGGUUUUCGGAUCGUAAAACUCUGUUGUUAGAGAAGAACAAGGACGUUAGUAACUGAACGUCCCCUGACGGUAUCUAACCAGAAAGCCACGGCUAACUACGUG
rnacentral:rRNA from 1 species